GAAUGCUUGCCCUUUUAGUAUUUCUCUAGAAGGCUUUCUCAAGUCAGAAAGCCCGU
rnacentral:snRNA from 1 species